ACAGAUGUAGAAGCCCAAAAGCUCAAUUCCAGGAGAAGCUGUGAAAGUCAUGGUGUGGCAGACCAGGCCACCCAGGCUGCCCGAAAUGUAAAGAUUGACACAGAAGGUAAUAAUGCUGUUAUGAGGCUUUGCUUCCUUGAAGCAAGGAAAACCAAAGCAGCCACAGGAGGGGCUAACCUGGUGUCAUGUGGAGCAUCUGGUUAUGUCAGGUUUUGGGAUACAUUUAAGAAAGUACUUCUGGCUGAAUUUUUGGCUCAUGCUGGUGUUGGAUCCAUCAUUAUGUCUACUGAUAAACUGAAUCAAUACCUUGCCACUGGAGAUUCUGAUGGAUGGUUGAAAAUCUGGAACAUAGAGGAGUAUUGUACUAAUUCCACUGAGAGCAAAAUCACCCAGCCUCCACCUUUGCUCAGAUCAUCUCAACCUCAUGAGGACCGGAUAAGUUCCUUGGAGAUGUGUGAGUCCUGUGGUCGUCUGCUCAUCAUCUCCUCCUCUGCAGACUGCAGUGUCUGUGUGACUGGACUUUCCAGUGCUCCUGCCUUGAUCUUUGGUCAGGUAUGCGCACUCUUUCUUUGCUAUUGUAGAAUUUACUUGACAUUUAGUAUAAAUUUGACCUUAUUUUCA
rnacentral:lncRNA from 1 species